rnacentral:tRNA from 1 species
GCCUAGGCAGCUCAGUUGGUUAAGUUUCUGACUUCAGCUCAGGUCAUGAUCUUGCAGUCCGUGAGUUCGAGCCUCACAUUGGGCU